UACGGGGGAUGCAAGCGUUAUCCGGAUUUAUUGGGCGUAAAGCGCCUGUAGGUUGUUUAAUAAGUCUGUUGUUAAAGACUAGGGCUUAACCCCAGGAAAGCAAUGGAAACUACUAGACUUGAGUAUGAUAGGGGUAGAGGGAAUUUCUAGUGUAGCGGUGAAAUGCGUAGAUAUUAGAAAGAACACCAGUGGCGAAAGCGCUCUACUGGACCAUUACUGACACUCAGAGGCGAAAGCUAGGGUAGCAAAAGGGAUUAGAUACCCCUGUAGUCCUAGCCGUAAACGAUGGAUACUAGAUGUUGUGCUUUUGUACAGUAUCCUAGCUAACGCGUUAAGUAUCCCGCCUGGGGAGUACGCUCGCAAGGGUG
rnacentral:rRNA from 1 species